AUUGCACGCUGGCGGCAGGCCUAACACAUGCAAGUCGAUCUAGCUGCGGACGGGUGAGUCAUGUCUGGGAACCUGCCCGAUGGAGGGGGAUAACUACUGUAAACGUUAGCUACUACCGCAUACCAUCAUAUGUUCCCAGAUUGGAUUAGCUCGUAUGUGAUGUAACGGCUCACCUAGGCGACGAUCCCUAGCUGGUCUGAGAGGAUGACCAGCCAAACUGGAACUGAGACACGGUCCAGACUCCUACGUGAGGCAGCAGUGGGGAAUAUUGCACAAUGGGCGCAAGCCGGAUGCAGCCAUGCCGCGUGUGUGAAGAAGGCCUUCGGGUUGUAAAGUACUUUCAGCGGGGAGGCGUUACCCGCAGAAGAAGCACCGGCUAACUCCGUGCCAGCCGCCGCGGUAAUUC
rnacentral:rRNA from 1 species